UUGCUUCAGCAGCACGUAUACUCAAGUUUGAAUGAUGCAGAGAAGAUUAAUGUGCUUCCUGCACAAGGAUCACAUGCAAAUUCAUGAAGCAUUCCAUAUUUUU
ensembl:snRNA U6 U6 spliceosomal RNA